rnacentral:rRNA from 1 species
UACGGAGGGUGCAAGCGUUUGUCCGGAUUUAUUGGGUUUAAGGGUGCGUAGGCGGCUUUUUAAGUCAGUGGUGAAAUACAGCAGCUCAACUGUUGAGGUGCCAUUGAUACUGAGAGGCUUGAGUACAGAUGAGGUAGGCGGAAUUUAUGGUGUAGCGGUGAAAUGCAUAGAUACCAUAAAGAACACCGAUUGCGAAGGCAGCUUACUAAGCUGUAACUGACGCUGAGGCACGAAAAGCGUGGGGGAGCGAACAGG